AAUGACCUUGUGCACAUUGCUUAACAACUCUGAACCCCCAUUUCCUCAUCUGGAAAAGGGGAUCCUGACUACACCUCCCACUUGUAGGGAUCUGCAGAGGCUGAGAGGAGCAGAGGCUGAGAGCUCUGCAGGGGCCUGACAGCAGGGCUCCCAAACAAUGGAGGACUUCACUCCUGGUUUAUCACAUUUGUCGCCAGGGUGCAGAUUUCCAACAGGAAGAGCGGAGAGAGAAAAAGAACUGCCGUACUUGCUGACUACACGUGGGAAACUAAGAAAAUAUUUACAGCUUGCAGAAGGUUCGCCAUGUUCCCAUGUAUUAAUAUUUUUGGCCCUCUCUCAGUUCUCUGGGACAGUUUAUUUUUUAUUUUUUUCAUUUUGCUGUUGCUUUAUAAAACAUGUCGACAACUGGAGCCAACCGCUUCUUUUUUAGUUUUUAAGCUCAAACAGCUUUCUUUUUUAUUUCAUGAUUUUUUUUUUUUAAACCAAAGAAUGCUUUGUGCCGUGAGUGGUUUCUGCCAGCCUGCGUGCCUUUCUCACAGCACGG
rnacentral:lncRNA from 1 species